rnacentral:rRNA from 1 species
AUUGAACGCUGGCGGCAUGCUUUACACAUGCAAGUCGAACGGCAGCGCGGGCUUCGGCCUGGCGGCGAGUGGCGAACGGGUGAGUAAUGCAUCGGAACGUGCCCAGUAGUGGGGGAUAGCCCGGCGAAAGCCGGAUUAAUACCGCAUACGACCUGAGGGUGAAAGCGGGGGACCGAAAGGCCUCGCGCUAUUGGAGCGGCCGAUGUCGGAUUAGCUAGUUGGUGGGGUAAAGGCUUACCAAGGCGACGAUCCGUAGCUGGUCUGAGAGGACGACCAGCCACACUGGGACUGAGACACGGCCCAGACUCCUACGGGAGGCAGCAGUGGGGAAUUUUGGACAAUGGGGGCAACCCUGAUCCAGCAAUGCCGCGUGCGGGAAGAAGGCCUGCGGGUUGUAAACCGCUUUUGUUCGGGAAGAAAUCCUCUGGGCUAAUACCCCGGGGGGAUGACGGUACCGGAAGAAUAAGCACCGGCUAACUACGU